UACAGAGGGUGCGAGCGUUGUCCGGAAUUACUGGGCGUAAAGGGCGCGUAGGCGGCUUGGUAAGUCGGGGGUGAAAGUCAGCGGCUCAACCGCUGGACUGCCUUCGAGACUGCCUGGCUUGAGCAUGGUAGAGGCUGGCGGAAUUCCCGGUGUAGCGGUGGAAUGCGUAGAGAUCCGGAAGAACACCGGUGGCGAAGGCGGCCUGCUGGGCAGUUUAGCUGACACUGAGGCGCGACAGCGUGGGGAGCAAACAGG
rnacentral:rRNA from 1 species